rnacentral:rRNA from 1 species
GAUGAACGCUGGCUACAGGCUUAACACAUGCAAGUCGAGGGGAAACGACGGGGAAGCUUGCUUCCCCGGGCGUCGACCGGCGCACGGGUGAGUAACGCGUAUCCAACCUGCCUCUGACUGAGGGAUAACCCGUCGAAAGUCGGCCUAAUACCUCAUGGCAUCGUCUGCGGGCAUCCAACGACGAUUAAAGAUUUCAUCGGUCAGGGAUGGGGAUGCGUCUGAUUAGCUUGUUGGCGGGGUAACGGCCCACCAAGGCUACGAUCAGUAGGGGUUCUGAGAGGAAGGUCCCCCACAUGGGAACUGAGACACGGUCCAAACUCCUACGGGAGGCAGCAGUGAGGAAUAUUGGUCAAUGGGCGGGAGCCUGAACCAGCCAAGUAGCGUGCAGGAUGACGGCCCUAUGGGUCGUAAACUGCUUUUAUGCGGGGAUAAAGUGAGGGACGUGUCCUUCAUUGCAGGUACCGCAUGAAUAAGGACCGGCUAAUUCCGUG